GACAUGCCAGCAUUUGUUCUAACCCUAUCUCACGUAGUCCUAUCAAUCCAUCUCAGCUUUUACAAGUCACCUCCCUCCCAUCAGCACAUUCAAAUGGGCAGAUGCUUCCACCCAUAUCCCCUGGAGCCUGAGCUGAAAUGUUUGAAGACAGUCUCCUUCCUCCCGAGAGGAUCGAGAGUGCUCUUUUGAGAGCACUUUCUCCCAGCUCCGGAUGAGGAAGGCAGGAUUGCUCUGCUGUUCUAGACAGAUUUUUCUGCUUCCCGAAACUACGUCUGGCUCAGAAGCACUGCUUAGUCCGUCCGCAGUGACAUUCCUGGGCUGUGCUUCCAUUCUGUUCUGCAGAACACCCCGAAUGCUUACAGCAUGCUGGCUGAAUGUCAAACAAGGAGCUGACCCAAGGAGCCCUCUCGAUUCAACAGCUGGCAACUUUUCUAGAAGAACUAACCCUCUGGCCCUGGACUGUUCUGAUGUAGCCUAAAGGGGCCUCGUAUUUGCUAAAUAGCCGAAAAGAAAUGACCUUGAGCUUUCCGAUCCCCCUGCUCUAUCUCCCAGGCCCUGCACCUCCACGCUUAGUUAAGUGUGCAGGCAAGAAAGGCUCUACCAACACAGCCACAUUCCCAGUCCAAAACUCUGUUUCUGGCUUUUCGCUGUAAAAUUUUACAGCUGGAAUACCUUUGUCUAUGAAUAGCCCAGGACCAGCCGGGCGUGGUGGCACGUGCCUUUAAUCCCAGCACUUGAGAGGCAGAGGCAGGUAGGUUUCUGAGUUUGAAGCUAGCUUGGUCUACAGAGUGAGUUCCAGGACAGCCAGGGCUACACAGAGAAACCCUGUCAAUAGCCAGGACCUUGAUUUUUUUCCCAACCCAUGAAUUGAGGCCUUGAAGGCUACCUGGGCUCAAGCAGCAAAGGCCCAGUGAGCAGCUGGUUCACAGCCAAGACAUCUCAGGGUAGGAGAAAGAGAGGCUGAGAGGCUGGGCUGAAUCUGAGCUGCCACACCCUGACUUGUGGAAAGAGUUCGUUAUCAGUAGGCUCCCUUUUCUGUUGCUUCCUUCUCCAAAAUUGAACUUUUUCAAAUUUAGAUUUUUUUUUACUAAACCAAAGAACUACUGCCAAUAUGAUGUCUUGCUGUACAUCCGUUUGCAGCCCUUUAAUGAGCUUGAAAAGGGCUGGUGAGAUUCCCCUAUUGCUUUCCAUUGUUAUACUGGAACCCCGACUUCCCCAACGGCCUCUGAAAUGCACAGCCGUAAGACUGGUUUGUGGUGUUCAGUCAAACACACACACCAUAGCGUUAGCUCAAAAAUAAAAAUAGUUAACGGGAGUGCCGAGUUCCUCUUUUUUCUUCUUUCUUCUAGAGCAAGCUUUUGUUUAAGAGGCAAAUCACUCCUGAGGAAAUAAAAACUCAAAACAGGAAGCAGAAGCUAUCUGGCAGAGCACUGUGCUCAGCAAAAGUCUCAGAAGCAGACUUGGGUUCAUACCUCCACCAGCCUCUACCUUCCAAGUGCUGGGAUUGAAGGUGUGCUCCCGGGCUACCAGAGUUCAAAGUCUGAGUAAGUGGCUGAGAGAGACAAGCAAAGCGACAGCUUUGAUCAAGGGGACUCAGUCUAGCAGAAUAACCCUAGCUUGGAGCUGCUCUCUCUCAAGAAGAAAAAGAACUGGAGGAAACACACCAUUGCCUAACUCUGAACGUUUAGGCUUGUAUAUAGUUAGGCCUGUCUACAUUCCAGCAGUGAAUGGUAGAUCAUAUGAUCAAACUGUCAUCAGUGGAGCUGGAAAGGAUAUCUCCAUCUUGGGAUGUAGGACAGUCACCUAGCAACCACUGAUGAUAAAUAGCCCUUAACAGGAAGAACAGCUUAGUUAGAAUUAGUUGAGAACUGCAAUGCCAGUUACCACACAAUAAGAGCAAGACACUCCUUACGGCAUUGUGAGAAUGGAGCCGCUCAAGGAUCCUGAAACUGUUCUCCACUUAAGAAGGGCUCUAAGAUCACAGCAACAGUGAUUUUCGGCUUCUGCUGGGAGUUAGUCUCACUACUGAGUUGGAUUAAACCUGACUUAAUAGGAAGAAAAUGGCUUGUAGUUAUUCCCCAUAUUCAAUGCAGAGACAAUAAAAAUUUGAGUCUAGGGGCACAGACUUUGGAGUGAGAUGGACACCUCCCUUUUAAGGACAGAUAAUAUUGGAACCAGAUUAUUUAACAUCUCUGAGUCUUAGUUUCCUCAAUGCCCAAACGCACUUACUUGAGAAUUUACCAUAGGCUUUUCAGUUGGCGAAAUUAGCCUGGUCCUGUUUACCCAGUAGAUGUAGCCUUCAGUG